UACGUAGGGGGCAAACGUUGUCCGGAUUUAUUGGGCGUAAAGAGCGUGUAGGCGGCCAGGUAGGUCUGCUGUGAAAACUCGAGGCUUAACCUCGAGCUGUCGGCGGAAACCAUCUGGCUAGAGUCCGGAAGAGGAGAAUGGAAUUCCCGGUGUAGCGGUGAAAUGCGCAGAUAUCGGGAAGAACACCCGUGGCGAAGGCGGUUCUCUGGGACGGUACUGACGCUGAGACGCGAAAGCGUGGGGAGCGAACAGG
rnacentral:rRNA from 1 species